UUGACAACAUGUACCAUGCAUUUGACAUGAACCUAUGAAGGUUUCUCCAUACCACACAAAACAAUUAGUGCUUAAGGUGGUACCAAACACCUUGACUAAAACUAAUUUGGCUUGUUUAAUUUUCAUAAAAUUUUGACAAAAUAUUUACUUUGACCCUUUGACAAAAAUAUAAAAAAUUUCCAAAAACUUAAACCACACACUUUAUCGGAAAAAUUUCAUUGGAUAUAUAGCAGUUUGACAAACACUAAUUUUGAUCAUUGAGAAGCUUAAUAUUUCCUUAACAAUAGAACAUGAUUAAAAUGUUCGGCAGAUUUUUUAAGAGUUAUCUCCCUGUAGUGUUAUGUACCACCUUAAAUUGAUUACUGCUUAUUAAUUUAUUUUCCUGGGUACCAAUUUUCGUGCAUUGAGAAAACAAAUUAUUUUCAUGGAUAUUUGAUUUCUUGGUUGUGCAAAGUCUGCAUACAAGCCUAUAGAAAUUGUAUACUUUGUUGGGAAUUAAUAUUCAUGGUUCACCUAUACUAAAGAAAGAGUGGUGGAUUUAGAAAGCCUCCCCCCUCUUAUAUCAAUAUGCAGAAAAAGUGAAAAUCCCUACUAAUAUAUGUCUCAGGAUGAAUCUUUUUAUAAAGCUAGUGAAUUGUUUUUUGUAGCUUAUAAGAGGAUUUACAGUCUCUAUUUCUAACAUUUGGAAAUGCUUUUUUAAAGUGAUCAAAAUACUUGGGAAAAUGUAUUUUGAAUAUAAUUCUUUUGAAAGGAAAUCUAAUUCUAAAGUUAGCUUAGAUAUUUGUUUGUCUCAGAACAUUUCAGUUUUUUAAAUUCAAGAACAUUGUGCAGUCAUGGCAUCCCACUACUGCACACAUGUCUUUCCAUGAUGCUUUAAAAAAAAAUCAGAAAAUUCUGCAUUUUCCUUUCUUAAUUGAACGAAGUAAAACAUUUUAAAUGAAAUAAAAUGCCAAGUGAAAGUAAUCGGUUGUAGUAUAAAAUGCCAGGUGAAAGUAAUUGGUUGUAGCACAAAAAACCAGGUUAAAGUAUUGGUUGUAGCAUAAAAUGCCAGGUGAAAGUAAUUGGUUGUAGCAUAAAAUAAUGGGUCGUAGCAUAAAAUGCCAGGUGAAAGUUUGUUUGUAGCAUAAAAUGCCAUAUGAAGGUAAUGGGUUGUAGUAUAAAAUAAUUGGUUAUAGCAUAAAAUGCUAGGUGAAAUUAGUGGGUUGUAACAUAAAUGUCAGGUGAUAGUAAUGGGUUGUAGCAUAAAAUGCCAGGUGAAGGUAAUCGGUUUUAGACCAGUUAAAUUAUCCCACUGUACUAAAAAAACAACAAAUAAACAAAGAAAAUAAAAA